UACGUAGGGUGCAAGCGUUUGUCCGGAAUUAUUGGGCGUAAAGAGCUCGUAGGCGGUCUGUCACGUCGACUGUGAAAUCCCGAGGCUCAACCUCGGGUCUGCAGUCGAUACGGGCAAACUAGAGUAUUGCAGGGGAGACUGGAAUUCCUGGUGUAGCGGUGAAAUGCGCAGAUAUCAGGAGGAACACCGGUGGCGAAGGCGGGUCUCUGGGCCGAUACUGACGCUGAGGAGCGAAAGCGUGGGGAGCAAACAGG
rnacentral:rRNA from 1 species